rnacentral:rRNA from 1 species
GAUGAACGCUAGCGGCAGGCCUAAUACAUGCAAGUCGAGGGGUAGAGGAGAGCUUGCUUUCCUUGAGACCGGCGCACGGGUGCGUAACGCGUAUGCAACCUACCUUUAUCUGGGGGAUAGCCCGGAGAAAUCCGGAUUAACACCGCAUAAAAUCACAGUACGGCAUCGUACAAUGAUCAAAUAUUUAUAGGAUAGAGAUGGGCAUGCGUGUCAUUAGUUAGUUGGCGGGGUAACGGCCCACCAAGACCACGAUGACUAGGGGAUCUGAGAGGAUGACCCCCCACACUGGUACUGAGACACGGACCAGACUCCUACGGGAGGCAGCAGUAAGGAAUAUUGGUCAAUGGAGGCAACUCUGAACCAGCCAUGCCGCGUGCAGGAAGACGGCCCUCUGGGUUGUAAACUGCUUUUAUUCGGGAAUAAACCUGCUUACGUGUAAGUAGCUGAAUGUACCGAAGGAAUAAGGAUCGGCUAACUCCGUGCCAGCCGCCGCCGUAAUAC